GAGCCUCCGUCUUUGCGCCGCCGGAGUGCAGCGCUGUGGGCGGUUGCGGGAGAGCGGCGGGCCGCCGGGGCGACAGCGCCGUGACUCGCUUCGCGGCCUUGUUCCUCGCUGCCUGAAGCCACGAUGCCUCAGUUCCAGACCUGGGAGGAGUUCAGCCGGGCGGCCGAGAAGCUCUACCUGGCGGACCCCAUGAAGGUGAGUCGCUGCAGGGACCGCCCUGGGGCCCGGGGCUUCUCUACCCUUGGCGCGGCCUGAGCACGCCCAGGAAACAGUCGGCCCACCCGGUGCCACUGUCCCUUCGUCUGCUUCCGACUGACCCGGAGACCCAGUGACCCAGCGAGGCGACCCCAGCAGCUACAGGCAGGGCGGUUUCCGCAGCGCCGGACCCCACAGCGGCCUGCACCCGGGGGAGCUCCUAACUUCCGCUCGGGAUCUGGUUGGUUUACGUGUCGCUGAGUGGGCUCCUCCCCCUGCACCGUCGCUUUCCUGUCCGUCGCUUAGUUUAGUGCCCCUUUCCUUUCCUACCCAGACCCGAGAGUACCAGCUUAUAAAAUGGUGCUACUGUACGUCCCAGUUAGGAAGCACCUGCUCUACUUUUUUUUUUUUUUUUUUGGAUAGUGGGGAUUUUUAGUCUUUUCCUGGACCAGUUGAAACAUGGAGACUGUUUGCACUCUCACGUUAGACAUAAAUGUUUGCAAGCGGUUUCAUUCCCCAAAGCAAACUACCCAGUCCCAUCUCAGCAGUUCAGAACAAGUUCCGGGAGGGGGACACAAAGGUCAGCUUCAUCAUUCCUUAAAGGAUUGUUGAAGGUAUGGUAGACGCAUGUUUUAUGAAUAUACACGUUAAGG
rnacentral:lncRNA from 1 species